CCCAGGUCUGAGAGUGAGGAAAACAGCAGAGCAGCCAAAACCUGUGCUCUGCUGAGGCCUCUGACACAGAGAGAAGGCUGAAACUCUCUUCCAGGGGUUCCUUUGAGCCCUCAAAUUUCUGGGUAUUUUUUUUAAAGAAAAUGGAUAAAGCCAAACAAGACACACAAUAAAUUUAGCCUAAAAUGACUAUUAAAUUGUAGUGUCUCAUGAUUUAUAAUCGAUAUUGCACCUUCUUUAUGCCACAUGAUAAUCCAAUGGGUAUAUGGUGACCAUGCUUCUCUCAGCCUGUCUGCAGCUCCUGGAGAGCUUUCUGCAUCUCAGAAUAGCAAAGUUGAGGGCUGGCAAUAGUGAGCUCCUGAGACUCCAUGGAUCAUCGAGAAGUGAUGCUUCUUGAAGGGAUCUUAGUCUUACUGACUCCAUGGUGAUUAAAGAUCCUGGCUAAAAGAAACUUUAGUCCUGUGACAUCUCUCUCAUCAAUGUAGCAAGGCAAAGGUGAAGCUCUCAUCUUGGUGCAUCCCCAUUACAUCUGUGCAUGGCACCACCCACAUCACCAGGUGCUUUACCUGAUACCAUUCAACAUGUCUGUUAUCGCAGUAAACACCUGCAUACCAAGCAAGUAAAGAAAGGCCACUUCAUAGAGAGACAACUUGAAGAUCCAGUGCAGAACUUCAACAAUUACAAGUGGUCCAUGAGACUCAUCUUCAUCGCUUCUAUGCUUCAAAGAACAGUCAGUGCUUAUUUCCAUUUGAAAGUGGAUGCAUGAAUGGAAUUAGUUAGCACAUUGCAAGUUUUUCUUCUUCAGAAACAGACUUCUUUUAAUGAACUGAAUUUGAAAUUAACUGACUGUGAAGUAGAAUAUCUGGGGAACCCUUAAUUCCUGUGGACUGAGGAUCUUCAGUGCUGACAUCUGGAAAGCACACAAGGAGGCAGCACACACAGGAGCAGCCUAGACAGGGGCCGGGAGAUAAAAUUCUGACAGAUGGAAAGGUAAGGGACACAGUCUCAGGCACACCUCUAGGAGCUGAAGAAUCACAGAUUCCCUUCUAGAUCGUCCAGAGUGAGUUCAUCCUGACAGCAUCCUGGCUCUAUCACACUAAGGACUGAGAUGUACUUAUGACCUCCAGAACUGUAAAAUGAUGACUUUUGAAUGUUCAAGACAUAAUUGCAUACAAAGUCUUACUGUACAAAUAAAAAAGUAAUGUGAAUGUC